GGGGGCCCGCAAGCGGUGGAGCAUGUGGUUUAAUUCGAUGCAACGCGAAGAACCUUACCUACUCUUGACAUCCGAAGAACUUAGAAAAGAUGCUUUGGUGCCUUCCGGAACUCUGAGACAGGUGCUGCAUGGCUGUCGUCAGCUCGUGUUGUGAAAUGUUGGGUUAAGUCCCGCAACGAGCGCAACCCUUAUCCUUUGUUGCCAUCGGUUCGGCCGGGAACUCAAAGGAGACUGCCAGUGAUAAACUGGAGGAAGGUGGGGAUGACGUCAAGUCAUCAUGGCCCUUACGAGUAGGGCUACACACUUGCUACAAUGGCGUAUACAAAAAGAAGCGACCUCCCGAGAGCCAAGCGGACCUCAUAAAGUACGUCGUAGGAUCGGAUUGGAGUCUGCAAACUCGACUCCAUGAAGUCGGAAUCGCUAGUAAUCGUAGAUCAUGAAUGCUACGGAGAAAUACGUUCCCCGUUCUUGAUACACACC
rnacentral:rRNA from 1 species